rnacentral:rRNA from 1 species
UUCCGGUUGAUCCUGCCRGACCCGACUGCUAUCAGAGUGGGACUAAGCCAUGCGAGUCAACAUAGCAAUAUGUGGCAUACGGCUCAGUAACACGUAGUCAACAGGCCCAGGGGACGUGGAUAACCUCGGGAAACUGAGGAUAAACCGCGAUAGGUCAUCACUUCUGGAAUGGGUAAUGACUUAAAUCUAUAUGGCCCCUGGAUUGGACUGCGGCCGAUCAGGCUGUUGGUGAGGUAAUGGCCCACCAAACCUGUAACCGGUACGGGCUCUGAGAGGAGGAGCCCGGAGAUGGGCACUGAGACAAGGGCCCAGGCCCUAUGGGGCGCAGCAGGCGCGAAACCUCUGCAAUAGGCGAAAGCUUGACAGGGUUACUCUGAGUGAUUUCCGUUAAGGAGAUCUUUUGGCACCUCUAAAAAUGGUGCAGAAUAAGGGGUGGGCAAGUCUGGUGUCAGCCGCCGCGGUAAUACCAGCACCCCGAGUGGUCGGGACAUUUAUUGGGCCUAAAGCAUCCGUAGCCGGUUCUACAAGUCUUCCGUUAAAUCCACCUGCUUAACAGAUGGGCUGCGGAAGAUACUAUAGAGCUAGGAGGCGGGAGAGGCAAGCGGUACUUGAUGGGUAGGGGUAAAAUCCGUUGAUCCAUUGAAGACCACCAGUGGCGAAGGCGGCUUGCCAGAACGCGCUCGACGGUGAGGGAUGAAAGCUGGGGGAGCAAACCGGAUUAGAUACCCGGGUAGUCCCAGCUGUAAACGAUGCAGACUCGGUGAUGAGUUGGCUUAUUGCUAA